rnacentral:rRNA from 1 species
GAAUGAACGCUAGCUACAGGCUUAACACAUGCAAGUCGAGGGGAAACGACAUCGAAAGCUUGCUUUUGAUGGGCGUCGACCGGCGCACGGGUGAGUAACGCGUAUCCAACCUGCCCGCCACUUGGGGAUAACCUUGCGAAAGUAAGACUAAUACCCAAUGAUAUCCCACGAAGGCAUCCGAAUGGGAUUAAAGAUUUAUCGGUGAUGGAUGGGGAUGCGUCUGAUUAGCUUGUUGGCGGGGUAACGGCCCACCAAGGCGACGAUCAGUAGGGGUUCUGAGAGGAAGGUCCCCCACAUUGGAACUGAGACACGGUCCAAACUCCUACGGGAGGCAGCAGUGAGGAAUAUUGGUCAAUGGGCGAGAGCCUGAACCAGCCAAGUAGCGUGCAGGAAGACGGCCCUAUGGGUUGUAAACUGCUUUUAUAAGGGAAUAAAGUGAGCCUCGUGAGGCUUUUUGCAUGUACCUUAUGAAUAAGGACCGGCUAAUUCCGUG